GACAGAGGGUGCAAGCGUUGUUCGGAAUCAUUGGGCGUAAAGCGCACGUAGGCGGCUUCGCAAGUCGGGUGUGAAAGCCCACGGCUCAACCGUGGAAGUGCAUUCGAAACUGCGUAGCUUGAAUCUCGGAGAGGGUGGUGGAAUUCCCAGUGUAGAGGUGAAAUUCGUAGAUAUCAUUUGGAACGCCAAUGGUGAAAACAGCUCGCUGGGGGUGUACUGACACUGAGACACGAAAGCCAGGGGAGCGAACGGG
rnacentral:rRNA from 1 species